rnacentral:rRNA from 1 species
GGCUUAUUGAGGGUUAAUUUUAAGUCUAGCCUGCCCAAUGAUUAUUUAAUGGCCGCAGUAAAUUGACUGUGCUAAGGUAGCAUAAUCAUUUGUUUUUUAAUUGAAAGCUUGUAUGAAAGGUUUUAUAAGAAAAUAACUGUCUCUUUUAUAUAAUUAAAAAUUUAUUUUUAAGUUAAAAAGCUUAAAUUUAGUUAAAAGACGAGAAGACCCUAUAGAAUUUUAUAUAAAUUAUUUUUAAUUUAUUAGAAUAUAAUUUUUAAUAUUAAGUUUAUAUUUAAUUGGGGUGAUUAGAAAAAUAAAGUAUCUUUUCUUUAUUAUAACAUUAAUUUAUGAUUAAUUGAUUCAUUUAAAUGAUUUAAGAUUAAAUUACCUUAGGGAUAACAGCGUUAUUUUUUUUUAUAGUUCAAAUUAAAAAAAAAGAUUGCGACCUCGAUGUUGGAUUAAAAUUUUUAUUUGGUGUAGUAGCUAAAUUAUUAAGUCUGUUCGACUUUUAAAAUUUUACA